rfam:Hordeum vulgare subsp. vulgare, WGS project CAJW01000000 data, contig: morex_contig_92077
GGGAAAUGACGAGAGUGGUAUAGGCUUGCUAAAUUAUACGAGAGGGGUGCCCGCCCCCAAUAAGCUUGUUACGAUACUGGGGCAUCUCUCUGAUUUAUCAUCUGAUCCU